rnacentral:rRNA from 1 species
GACGAACGCUGGCGGCGUGCUUAACACAUGCAAGUCGAACGGAAAGGCCCUGCUUUUGUGGGGUGCUCGAGUGGCGAACGGGUGAGUAACACGUGAGUAACCUGCCCUUGACUUUGGGAUAACUUCAGGAAACUGGGGCUAAUACCGGAUAGGAGCUCCUGCUGCAUGGUGGGGGUUGGAAAGUUUCGGCGGUUGGGGAUGGACUCGCGGCUUAUCAGCUUGUUGGUGGGGUAGUGGCUUACCAAGGCUUUGACGGGUAGCCGGCCUGAGAGGGUGACCGGCCACAUUGGGACUUAGAUACGGCCCAGAAUCCUACGGGGGGCAGCAGUGGGGAAUAUUGCACAAUGGGCGGAAGCCUGAUGCAGCAACGCCGCGUGCGGGAUGACGGCCUUCGGGUUGUAAACCGCUUUCGCCUGUGACGAAGCGUGAGUUACGGUAAUGGGUAAAGAAGCACCGGCUAACUACGUG